rnacentral:rRNA from 1 species
UACGGAGGGUGCAAGCGUUGUCCGGAAUCAUUGGGUGUAAAGGGUGCGUAGGCGGGUUUUUAAGUCUGGGGUGAAAGGCUGCGGCUCAACCGUAGGAUUGCCCUGGAUACUGGAGAUCUUGAGUAUAACAAAGGCCGGUAGAAUUCGUGGUGUAGCGGUGAAAUGCAUAGAUAUCACGAAGAAUACCAGUGGCGUAGGCGGCCGGCUGGGUUAUAACUGACGCUGAGGCACGAGAGCGUGGGGAGCAAACAGG